rnacentral:pre_miRNA from 1 species
AGGAGGAACAACCACAGUGGCGGGGCCAGCUCUGGAUCCCUGGAUUCAGACCCCGCAGGAACAACGGACCUCUCAGCCUGCAGGGCCUGGAGGCUCCAGGGACGG